rnacentral:rRNA from 1 species
CCUACGGGUGGCAGCAGUCGAGAAUCAUUCACAAUGGGGGAAACCCUGAUGCUGCGACGCCGCGUGGGGGAAUGAAGGUCUUCGGUUUGUAACCCCCUGUCAUGUGGGAGCAAAUUAAAAAGAUAGUACCACAAGAGGAAGAGACGGCUAACUCUGUGCCAGCAGCCGCGGUAAUACAGAGGUCUCAAGCGUUGUUCGGAAUCACUGGGCGUAAAGCGUGCGUAGGCUGUUUCGUAAGUCGUGUGUGAAAGGCGCGGGCUCAACCCGCGGACGGCACAUGAUACUGCGAGACUAGAGUAAUGGAGGGGGAACCGGAAUUCUCGGUGUAGCAGUGAAAUGCGUAGAUAUCGAGAGGAACACUCGUGGCGAAGGCGGGUGCCUGGACAUUAACUGACGCUGAGGCACGAAGGCCAGGGGAGCGAAAGGGAUUAGAUACCCGUGUAGUC